rnacentral:rRNA from 1 species
UACGAAGGGGGCUAGCGUUGCUCGGAAUCACUGGGCGUAAAGGGUGCGCAGGCGGAUAUGUAAGUCAGUGGUAAAAAUCUUUGGGCUUAACCCGAAAAUUGCCAUUGAUACUAUAUAUCUUGAAUGCUGUGGAGGUAAGCGGAAUAUGUCAUGUAGCGGUGAAAUGCUUAGAGAUGACAUAGAACACCUAUUGCGAAGGCAGCUUACUACGCAGAUAUUGACGCUCAUGCACGAAAAGCGUGGGGAUCAAACAGG